rnacentral:rRNA from 1 species
AGAGUUUGAUCCUGGCUCAGGAUGAACGCUGGCGGCGUGCCUAACACAUGCAAGUCGAGCGAUUCUCUUCGGAGAAGAGCGGCGGACGGGUGAGUAACGCGUGGGUAACCUGCCCUGUACACACGGAUAACAUACCGAAAGGUAUGCUAAUACGGGAUAAUAUGCUUUUAUCGCAUGGUAGAAGUAUCAAAGCUUUUGCGGUACAGGAUGGACCCGCGUCUGAUUAGCUAGUUGGUAAGGUAACGGCUUACCAAGGCGACGAUCAGUAGCCGACCUGAGAGGGUGAUCGGCCACAUUGGAACUGAGACACGGUCCAAACUCCUACGGGAGGCAGCAGUGGGGAAUAUUGCACAAUGGGCGAAAGCCUGAUGCAGCAACGCCGCGUGAGCGAUGAAGGCCUUCGGGUCGUAAAGCUCUGUCCUCAAGGAAGAUAAUGACGGUACUUGAGGAGGAAGCCCCGGCUAACUACGUGCCAGCAGCCGCGGUAAUACGUAGGGGGCUAGCGUUAUCCGGAAUUACUGGGCGUAAAGGGUGCGUAGGUGGUUUCUUAAGUCAGAGGUGAAAGGCUACGGCUCAACCGUAGUAAGCCUUUGAAACUGGGAAACUUGAGUGCAGGAGAGGAGAGUGGAAUUCCUAGUGUAGCGGUGAAAUGCGUAGAUAUUAGGAGGAACACCAGUUGCGAAGGCGGCUCUCUGGACUGUAACUGACACUGAGGCACGAAAGCGUGGGAGCAAACAGGAUUAGAUACCCUGGUAGUCCACGCCGUAAACGAUGAGUACUAGCUGUCGGAGGUUACCCCCUUCGGUGGCGCAGCUAACGCAUUAAGUACUCCGCCUGGGAAGUACGCUCGCAAGAGUGAAACUCAAAGGAAUUGACGGGGACCCGCACAAGUAGCGGGGCAUGUGGUUUAAUUCGAAGCAACGCGAAGAACCUUACCUAAGCUUGACAUCCUUUUGACCGAUGCCUAAUCGCAUCUUUCCCUUCGGGGACAGAAGUGACAGGUGGUGCAUGGUUGUCGUCAGCUCGUGUCGUGAGAUGUUGGGUUAAGUCCCGCAACGAGCGUAACCCUUGCCUUUAGUUGCCAGCAUUAAGUUGGGCACUCUAGAGGGACUGCCAGGGAUAACCUGGAGGAAGGUGGGGAUGACGUCAAAUCAUCAUGCCCCUUAUGCUUAGGGCUACACACGUGCUACAAUGGGUGGUACAGAGGGCAGCGAAGUCGUGAGGCGGAGCUAAUCCCUUAAAGCCAUUCUCAGUUCGGAUUGUAGGCUGAAACUCGCCUACAUGAAGCUGGAGUUACUAGCAAUCGCAGAUCAGAAUGCUGCGGUGAAUGCGUUCCCGGGUCUUGUACACACCGCCCGUCACACCACGGGAGUUGGGGGCGCCCGAAGCCGGGUUGCUAACCUUUUGGAAGCGUCCGUCGAAGGUGAAAUCAAUAACUGGGGUGAAGUCGUAACAAGGUA